rnacentral:rRNA from 1 species
CUACGGGUGGCAGCAGUGGGGAAUAUUGCACAAUGGGCGCAAGCCUGAUGCAGCCAUGCCGCGUGUGUGAAGAAGGCCUUCGGGUUGUAAAGCACUUUCAGCGGGGAGGAAGGCGUUAAGGUUAAUAACCUUGGCGAUUGACGUUACCCGCAGAAGAAGCACCGGCUAACUCCGUGCCAGCAGCCGCGGUAAUACGGAGGGUGCAAGCGUUAAUCGGAAUUACUGGGCGUAAAGCGCACGCAGGCGGUCUGUCAAGUCAGAUGUGAAAUCCCCGGGCUCAACCUGGGAACUGCAUUCGAAACUGGCAGGCUAGAGUCUUGUAGAGGGGGGUAGAAUUCCAGGUGUAGCGGUGAAGGGCGUAGAGAUCUGGAGGAAUACCGGGGGCGAAGGCGGCCCCCUGGACAAAGACUGACGCGCAGGUGCGAAAGCGUGGGGAGCAAACAGGAUUAGAACCCCGGUAGUC